CCUACGGGUGGCAGCAGUAGGGAAUAUUGCUCAAUGGGGGAAACUCUGAAGCAGCAACGCCGCGUGGAGGAUGAAGGUUUUAGGAUUGUAAACUCCUUUUGUGAGAGAAGAUAAUGAUGGUAUCCCACGAAUAAGCACCGGCUAACGCCGUGCCAGCAGCGGCGGCAAUACGGGGGGUGCAAGCGUUACUCGGAAACACUGGGCGUAAAGCGUGCGCAGGCGGGCUUGUAAGUCAGAUGUGAAAUCCUGGAGCUAAACUACAGAACUGCAUUGGAAACUAUGAGUGUAGAGUGUGGGAGAGGUAGGUGGAAGUCUUGGUGUAGGGGUAAAAUCCGUAGAUAUCAAGAGGAAUACGCAUUGCGAAGGCGACCUACUGGAACCUUACUGACGCUCAUGCACGAAAGCGUGGGGAGCAAACAGGAUUAGAUACCCUGUAGUC
rnacentral:rRNA from 1 species